AGCUGAUCGGUGGGGAUCCCGCGUGUCCACCCCACCGAUCAGAUACUGGUGACCUAUCUAGAGGAUAGUUCAGCAGUAAAAAAAAUUAAUAAAAAAAAUCCCGGAAAACACCUUUAACCCCUUGUUGCAGGAAUCGAGGGCUUGGUAAAGUCUAGUUUUGAUCUUCCCAGGAAUGCAUAUUUAUUCUUCUCUCCUUCCGCGUUUCGAGGCUCAAAGUCCUACACAAUCCUUUCUUCUCGUGUCGGCAUUACAUCCGUCAACUUCCAAUUUCUGCACAGUCAGCUCUGGCUGUCAGCGAGCCUGGCGCCCUAUCCAACGUCAUUGGGUCCCAGCCAUAGUCCAGGUCCUAUCCAACGUCAUUGGGUCCCAGCCAUAGUCCAGGUCCUGCUGAUAAGAUAUCCUCUACUGGCAAAGUGAAAGCCUCCUGUCAAGGGCACAUUAAAGUAAUAAAAAGGAAAGGGGAGGGCAGUGGAAAAGAUUCUCUGGCUCUUAAUAAGCUCUAGACUUAGGACAUAUGGACCUCGUAGCGGGAGGGAUGAAAAGAGCGACCCCUACAGACACACCCAGUGUAUUACACAGGCAGCCUAUGAGGACCACCCAGACGUAUAGUAACAACAGGGGAACCUAGGGGAUACACAUGGCGACCUGAAAUGAUACGACACACUUGCGGUUAGCAGGAGCCUCCAUCACGGGCGACUUUUCCGGAAAACGCAUUGCCGCGAAUCAGAUGCAACACAACUUCCGAAGCUUCUGAAGACCGUUUAGCGUACAAUAUGGCCACCUAGGUGAUGUCAUGGGCCAUCCUCCAUAUUGGCUGCUAUGGGUAACGGCUACUCUUUAACCCCUUGACAACCCACGCCUAAAUUACAAAAAAAA